rnacentral:rRNA from 1 species
CAGCAGUAGCCGCGGGAAUACGUAGGUGGCAAGCGUUGUCCGGAAUUAUUGGGCGUAAAGGGCUCGCAGGCGGUUUCUUAAGUCCGAUGUGAAAGCCCCCGGCUCAACCGGGGAGGGUCAUUGGAAACUGGGAAACUUGAGUGCAGAAGAGGAGAGUGGAAUUCCACGUGUAGCGGUGAAAUGCGUAGAGAUGUGGAGGAACACCAGUGGCGAAGGCGACUCUCUGGUCUGUAACUGACGCUGAGGAGCGAAAGCGUGGGGAGCGAACAGGAUUAGAUACCCCCGUAGUCCCUGUCUCUUAUAC